AUUGAACGCUGGCGGCAGGCCUAACACAUGCAAGUCGAGCGAGCGGCGGACGGGUGAGUAAUGUCUGGGAAACUGCCUGAUGGAGGGGGAUAACUACUGGAAACGGUAGCUAAUACCGCAUACCAUCAGAUGUGCCCAGAUGGGAUUAGCUAGUAGGUGGGGUAACGGCUCACCUAGUCGACGAUCCCUAGCUGGUCUGAGAGGAGGACCAGCCACACGGGAACGGAGACACGGUCCAGACUCCUACGGGAGGCAGCAGUGGGGAAUAUUGAACAAUGGGCGAAAGCCUGAUGCAGCCAGGCCGGGUGUGUGAAGAAGGCCUUCGGGUUGUAAAGUACGUUCAGCGGGGAGGCGUUACCCGCAGAAGAAGCACCGGCUAACGCCGUGCCAGCCGCCGCGGUAAUAC
rnacentral:rRNA from 1 species